UUUGAGGUACUGGUCGAAAUUUAAUCCCUCAAAAAGCAAAUAUCCCAUAUCAAAUAUUACAAUCCAAAGUGACAUAUGCAUUGAGAUCAAAAGGUGUAUGCCUAGAUAUCAGAUGAGAUGUAAAGGGCAAAAUAUGGGAUUGAAAGAUUGAUUUUACAAUCAAUGAGCAUUGGAAUAUAACGGUCAGUUAUGUGUUUGUGGUUGUUGUAAUUCUUUGUGUUUGAGCAGCCACUAGCUCAGAAGGGAAUCAGAAGCUUCAUUUGGGGUGAAGAUUUGUCCAAAUUAAACACUGUACUUAGAGGUUAAAUGCUAUUUAAAGAAGUACAGUGCAACCUUUUCCAAGAAUAUCAUACAGAUUUUUUCCUACUCUAGGUAUUUUAAGGCUAUCUCUUCUUUCUUUUGGCAUGAUCUAUACGACAAAAGGGAAACGAGCAAAUGCAUAAUUUUCAUAAAUUACUCUAUUCAUAGAAAUACUAGAAAUGAUUAUAUUCUUGAUUCCCCAUGUGUCAUAUUAUUCUAUCAUCUAUUCAUGUGUCUUAGAAAAAUAUGUAAGUUGAAAAAAAAGUUUACUUCAUAGGAUUACUCAAAGGUAUAAUGGUCUUAUGAAAUUCUGAAAGAUUUUAUUAACGUACUUUUUAUGCAUUGCAUUCAUAUACAUUGACCCAUGAACAUAUGACGUUAUAAAUGCGUAUAUAUGUAUAUAUAUGCAUAUGGGAUAUGGAAAAAGAUUAUGGCGUUAUAUACGCACCACCACCUGAUCAGCUGGUAUACGUUGGUGAUUUGCCCACAGUGGCCAAGAUGAUAUGAUGGGAUGCCCUCAGAGGCUUGAUAAAGUUAUGAACACAUAUACCCAUGUAUGGUAUGACAUUUAUACGUAUAUGCAUGACAUUUUAAAUAUUAAAGGAUUUCACAUAGCUAUUCAGAUUUACAUGUCGACUCUUUUACUCUAUGUUUCUCUCAUGUCUAUUGUUUACUGAUUUUUAUUCCUUACAUACUUUGUACUGACGUGCCUUUUGCCUGGGGACACUGCAUUUCAUGAUCGCAGGUCCUGAUAGAUAGGUCGAGAGUCCUCUAAGUAGGCUAUCAGCUCAACGGAAGGUGUUGGUGAGCUCCAUUUGCUCUAGAGUUGCUUCUUUGGUCAGUAUAAUUAGUAUAUGUAUUGAUUGGUAUGGCGGGACCCGAUCCCGACCUUUAUGAUAUUAUGCAUUCUUAGAGGCUUGUAAACAUAUGUCCUGUACGUAAAAGAUUGUAUGGUCUUGUCGGCCUAUAUUUAGUAUACGAGUGAUCAUUUGGUCUUAUAGGCCCGCAUGUCUUAUAUAUAAGUUGGU
rnacentral:lncRNA from 1 species